CAAUAUUUGCUUUGGUGCUGUGUGCAUAUAAUAAUGAGGUGUACCAGCCUGCCUGAAUAUAAAUGGCGUGAGAUGUAUGGGACACCUGUUGUAUUGUGGAGUUGUAAUUAAUAACCAGAAGGCUAUUCCUGAACACUAAGUUGGGAAAGAAAUGCAGACCACAGAAAAUAAAGCUGAAAGAUGUCACUGCUUCAUGGAGAACAGAACUGAGUGGUGUCAGUACCAGGCAGGUAAGUUGUGAAAACAGCUGAGAACAAAGUGAGCUGAACUUCACUUUUAAUGUCCACCAAGAAAGAAGAGGAUAAAAAAGAGGAGGGAAGAGUUUAUGCUCCAUGUUUCUUUCUGUUGAAAGUGUGUUUAGAAAUAGUGUUAACAUUAGUUAAUACAAUACAAUAGUAUUAACAUUAGCAUUUCUGAGACAGAGAUAUGCUACUCCAGGACGUCACUUCUUUAUUUCUUUUUUUUUUUUUUUUUAAUGUUUAAGAGCCUACCUUUUGGAAAUAAUGCAAUAGAUAUGACCAAAACUUUACUGAUUUAAACUAAAAUGUAUUCACAACAAAAUUUUAUGGGCAAAUGAAUAAAUAUCAAUGGUGGUGCUUUAUAAUAAAAUAAGCAACGAUUCAGGUUGAAAAAAUUUUCUCAGAUUUUAUGUAUAUGUAUGUGUGUGUUCAUUUUGGUAAUGUUCUUCUGCUUUUUGAAUAGUAGGCUUUUUAAAAAUGAUUGUGGAGUAAUUAGUGUCCCUUUCUUCUCAUAUCCUUGCCAUUCUAGAAAAUACAGUAAUAAUUUAUUCUCAAGAUAGCUGGAUAUUUUAAUUCUUAGUACUUCUCCAGUGCUUGAAGAUACUUUGGACAGAUAUUUCUCCACUUAAUUUAUUCAGUGAAAAUGUGAUUUAAGGCUGGAGAAGUUAAUUCUUCAAUCACUUAUUGCUGAAAGGUCAUUUGAUUAACACCACAUUAUGCUUGUUAACUGUCAGUGUAAAACUGACAUCAUUACCUAGACAUGCAAAUUGGAAGAUAGAUAUUAUAAGAAUAUCCUCUGUUCAAUUAGCAGCACACACAUGGCUAGAGCUGCUUUUGCAGACCUCCAGAUUUUAAUGACUAGAACAAUGAAAUGAGCAGAGACGACUACAUCAUUACUUGUUGCUAAUGUUUGCAACAAAGAGAAGAAUAUAUUUUCUCUUUUAAAAGGUUAACGAUAAGAAAAACACCUUGUUAUUCCUUUUUUUUUUCUGUUAUCUAAGCAAGUACAUUCUUUAUUGCAUUUGGAUGAUAUUCCUAAAGGAAUUAAUGUUAAGCAUCUAGAUACUGUUUUAUAUUUGCAUCUAAGACCAGGCUUUGUAUAUUCCAGUAUCACUGUAAACUAACAAAUACUGUUUUUUUCCAUUUCAAGGUUUUGGAUGAAAUGGUUACUAAAGUAAGUAUGUAAGAAGAGUCUUCAGUUCUGUGUUUUCAUCCUCUUUUUUUUUUUUGUUUUUUUUUUUUUGUUUUUAAUUUGUCUCUGUCUUGAUUUGGAAGACAGGUGUCUGCUAGGGAGGGCAGGAGCCUUCCUUGGAAUGAAAAAUGUAGACCCCCUCCAUAUGAAUUACUAUAAUUUUGAAACCAAGGGGCUCUCAGGCAGAGAUCUGGGGAUAGGAAUAACAGUUCUUUAUUAAUAUUUAUAACAAGGUAUGGGAAGCUAGGGCCUGGCGUUCGGAAGACAUCGGGAUGUAAUGGAAAGACAGAGUCACCCCCCUCCUCCAGAGUGUAUGGUAAUUGCCCCGUAAUUAGCCAAUAGCACCUAGCUGUGAUGAAAGCAAACGGGAGUUACACUGUGAACCUAGGUUAUAAAGUGUCAAAUUCUCCAGCAAUAAACACCAUUUCUGCCAUCCAUCACGUUGAUGUUGUGCGUGGGUUUGGACCGAGUGACCAGAGUGAGGUCACCAUGCUGCUCCUGAACCAGGGUGUCUGCCUUGCUGAAGGCAACGAGGCAAACAAACAAUAACUACAGCGUCAGCAACAAAACAGAACCAGGGAUCCCGUGACAGCCUUCUCAGCUGAGACGGGAAGGGAUGGAGGAGAGGCUUUGUUUCACAAACCCCCUCAGGCAGUCAGUCCCAGUGCUCCUGCAGGGCUCUGAGGAACACUUGGCUGGAACAGCAGGGAUG